rnacentral:rRNA from 1 species
UCGAGAAUCUUUCACAAUGGGGGCAACCCUGAUGGAGCGACGCCGCGUGGAGGAUAAGGUCUUCGGGUUGUAAACUCCUGUUAUGCGCGAACAAGGUUGCAAGGUUAAUAACUUUGCAAAUUGAUGGGACCGCAAGAGGAAGAGACGGCUAACUCUGUGCCCGCAGCCGCGGUAAUACAGAGGUGUCAAGCGUUGUUCGGAAUCACUGGGGGUAAAGGGUGCGCAGGUGGCGUGGUAAGGCAGAUGUGA